rnacentral:ncRNA from 2 species
CCAUAAAAUGUGGAAGUAGGUUCCUUGAAUGAAUAAGUUCAAGGAUUAAAAGGGAAGCUCGGUGUAAUUCCGGCACGGUCCCGCCACUGUAAAAGGGGAAUUAGUAUACAAAAAACCACUGAUCCAAUUGGGUUGGGAAGGGGUGUAGCUAAUAUUGAUCCUUGAGUCAGGAGACCUGCCUAUUUCGACAACACUGU